rnacentral:lncRNA from 1 species
CUGAGAUUUAACUUUACAACAGAUGGAUACUGGAGGACAUAGUCAAACCAUAGCACUUUCCUAAGAGAUGCGCAUUCCAGGCCAUCUGGCUAGCAAGGCAGGCAAGCAGAUCUCUCUGCCCAAGGACAUAAAGAACCUUAGACAAAUAUACGGCCAUUGGAAGUGAAGUACAACAAAGGGGAAAGCCCUAGAUUACAAAUGGGGACUGCUACAUUCAUCAUGGUUUUCAUCUGCACCAGUGCUCAGUGCCCCAACCUCCACGUUGUUCAGGAGUCAACUGCUUUUUUAGUCUGUAGCUGCAUCUCUCUGGAACAGCAUCUUGGCAGGUGGGUUGCAAGUAAAGGAAUCCAGAAAA